UACGUAGGUGGCGAGCGUUGUCCGGAAUUACUGGGUGUAAAGCGCGUGUAGGCGGGAGGCCAAGUCUGUGGUGAAAUCGCUCGGCUUAACUGGGCGGGGUCCAUGGAAACUGGUCACCUGGAGGUCGGUAGAGGCAAGUGGAAUUCCCGGUGUAGUGGUGAAAUGCGUAGAGAUCGGGAGGAACACCAGUGGCGAAGGCGGCUUGCUGGGCCGGACCUGACGCUGAGACGCGAAGGCGUGGGGAGGCGAACGGG
rnacentral:rRNA from 1 species